UACGUAGGUGGCAAGCGUUGUCCGGAAUUACUGGGUGUAAAGGGAGGGCAGGCGGGGAGACAAGUCCGCUGUGAAAACUAUGGGCUUAACCCAUAGACGGCAGUGGAAACUGUAUCUCUUGAGUGGAGUAGAGGCAGGCGGAAUUCCGAGUGUAGCGGUGAAAUGCGUAGAUAUUCGGAGGAACACCAGUGGCGAAGGCGGCCUGCUGGGCUCUAACUGACGCUGAGGCUCGAAAGUGUGGGGAGCAAACAGGAUUAGAUACCCUGGUAGUCCACACUGUAAACGAUGAUUGCUAGGUGUGGGGGGUCUAACCCCUUCCGUGCCGGAGCUAACGCAAUAAGCAAUCCACCUGGGGAGUACGGCCGCAAGGUUG
rnacentral:rRNA from 1 species